rnacentral:misc_RNA from 1 species
CCGAGUUAUCAACUCCCAAACCCCUGUGAACAUACCUAAAACGUUGCUUCGGCGGGAUCGCCCCGGCGCCCAUAGCGGCCCGGAACCAGGCGCCCGCCGGAGGACCCAAACUCUUGUCUGAUUUAUAGUGGCAUAUUCUGAGUCUCACAAACAAAUGAAUCA